rnacentral:rRNA from 1 species
AUUGAACGCUGGCGGCAUGCUUUACACAUGCAAGUCGAACGGUAACAGGCCGCAAGGUGCUGACGAGUGGCGAACGGGUGAGUAAUGCAUCGGAACGUGCACAGUCGCUGGGGAUAACGCAGCGAAAGCUGUGCUAAUACCGCAUACGAUCUAUGGAUGAGAUCGGGGGACCGUAAGGCCCCGCCUGAUUGGAGCGGCCGAUGUCAGAUUAGGUAGUUGGUGGGGUAAAGGCUCACCAAGCCAACGAUCUGUAGCUGGUCUGAGAGGACGACCAGCCACACUGGGACCGGGACACGGCCCAGACUCCUACGGGAGGCAGCAGUGGGGAAUUUUGGACAAUGGGCGCAAGCCUGAUCCAGCAAUGCCGCGUGCAGGAAGAAGGCCUUCGGGUUGUAAACUGCUUUUGUACGGAACGAAAAGGUUUGGGUUAAUACCCUGGGCCGAUGACGGUACCGUAAGAAUAAGCACCGGCUAACUACGUGCCAGCAGCCGCAGUAA